UACGUAGGGGGCAAGCGUUGUCCGGAUUUAUUGGGCGUAAAGAGCGUGUAGGCGGCCAAGCAGGUCCGCUGUGAAAACUCGAGGCUCAACCUCGAGACGUCGGUGGAAACCGUUUGGCUAGAGUCCGGAAGAGGAGAGUGGAAUUCCCGGUGUAGCGGUGAGAUGCGCAGAUAUCGGGAAGAACACCCGUGGCGAAGGCGGCUCUCUGGGACGGUAUUGACGCUGAGACGCGAAAGCGUGGGGAGCGAACAGG
rnacentral:rRNA from 1 species